rnacentral:SRP_RNA from 1 species
AGUCAGGACUUAGCAACAGUUUUCUGGGUGAACUCCGCCAGGUCCGGAAGGAAGCAACGGUAGCUCGUGAGGCCGUGUGUUAUUUCCUGGCUGCU